GGAGCAGGCGGCACUAAGGGUCUGUGGUGAAAGAUCGAAGCUUAACUUCGGUAAGCCAUGGAAACCGUAAAGCUAGAGUGGGUGAGAGGAUCGUGGAAUUCCAUGUGUAGCGGUGAAAUGCGUAAAUAUAUGGAGGAACACCAGUGGCGAAGGCGGCCUACUGGGCACCAACUGACGCUGAGGCUCGAAAGUGUGGGUAGCAAACA
rnacentral:rRNA from 1 species